rnacentral:rRNA from 1 species
GAUGAACGCUGGCGGCGUGCCUAAUCCAUGCAAGUCGAGCGAACAGAUAAGGAGCUUGCUCCUUUGACGUUAGCGGCGGACGGGUGAGUAACACGUGGGUAACCUACCUAUAAGACUGGGAUAACUUCGGGAAACCGGAGCUAAUACCGGAUAAUAUUUCGAACCGCAUGGUUCGAUAGUGAAAGAUGGUUUUGCUAUCACUUAUAGAUGGACCCGCGCCGUAUUAGCUAGUUGGUAAGGUAACGGCUUACCAAGGCGACGAUACGUAGCCGACCUGAGAGGGUGAUCGGCCACACUGGAACUGAGACACGGUCCAGACUCCUACGGGAGGCAGCAGUAGGGAAUCUUCCGCAAUGGGCGAAAGCCUGACGGAGCAACGCCGCGUGAGUGAUGAAGGUCUUCGGAUCGUAAAACUCUGUUAUUAGGGAAGAACAUACGUGUAAGUAGCUGUGCACGUCUUGACGGUACCUAAUCAGAAAGCCACGGCUAACUACGUG